rnacentral:rRNA from 1 species
UACGUAGGGUGCGAGCGUUGUCCGGAAUUAUUGGGCGUAAAGGGCUCGUAGGCGGUUUGUCGCGUCGGGAGUGAAAACCCAGGGCUUAACUCUGGGCUUGCUUUCGAUACGGGCAGACUAGAGGUAUGCAGGGGGGAACGGAAUUCCUGGUGUAGCGGUGAAAUGCGCAGAUAUCAGGAGGAACACCGGUGGCGAAGGCGGUUCUCUGGGCAUUACCUGACGCUGAGGAGCGAAAGUGUGGGGAGCGAACAGG